rnacentral:rRNA from 1 species
AGUGAACGCUGGCGGCAUGGCUAAGACAUGCAAGUCGAACGGGAUUGCUUUCAAUGAACCUUCGGGUGAUUUGAUUGCAUGAGAGUGGCGAACGGGUGCGUAACACGUGAACAAUCUACCUUAAAGUUGGGGAUAGCUCGGGGAAACUCGAAUUAAUACCGAAUGUGGUUCCUCCUCGCAUGUGGAGGAUACUAAAGCUUGUAAUGGCGCUUUAAGAGGGGUUCGCGGCCUAUCAGCUUGUUGGUGAGGUAACGGCUCACCAAGGCUAAGACGGGUAGCUGGUCUGAGAGGAUGAUCAGCCACACUGGAACUGAGACACGGUCCAG